rnacentral:snoRNA from 1 species
CCCCUCCAGAUUCCUUACCCCUCAGACCCCAACAUUGAUCUGUGUGGCUCUAAAACGGGAAAAGUAAAAAUGAAGCAGACUUGGAUUCUUUAUGGGACAUACAAAA